GAGGGUGAAGCGACUUGCCCAGGGUCACACAGCUACUCUUCACGUGGGCAAACCAGGAGCCGUAGGACACUACAUCCAGAGAAAGGAAAAGGUCAAAUCUACUUCUGCUUCUUGUUCUAUCCCUUUUGGCCAAACAGAACAUGUCCAAUCCCUCUCCGAUGAUAACCCCUCAGAUGCUUGAAGACAGCUGUACCCUAUGCCACUCAACCAGAGGACUGAAGUCUUUAAGAAGAAGCUGAAUGACCUCUUGUUGGGAAUACUAUAAAGGUGAUUCUUAUAUAUGUUCAGUUCAGAUUAGAUGCCACUGAGCUCCUGUGGGAACCUCUAUUCCACAACAGAGAACUUUCACAUAGAAAGAUGAUGGGGACUCUUGAAGAGGAAUCAAUCAAAGAUAUGAGGCCACUGAGGCACAGUCGAUAAAGAGCUAGCCUCAGGGUUAGGAAGGCCUAGGUUCACAUCUUGCCUCUGAAACGUAGAGUGACCCUUGAUAUCCCAGUGUUCCAAGCAGCUUUCUAAGAAUUUAAGAGUAGGCAAGGAUCUGUAUUGGUGAGGAGAAUUCUUGCUUGAGAUUCCCAAUGCCAAGGAAAGCAGAAGUCUGGUUCGAUAGACAAAGAAACCCAGGCUUGGAAGUGAGUCUGAGGGAGAUAAAUUGCUGGAAUAUUUAAUGCCCAAAGUAGGGGGUUAUAUAACAGGGCUUCUAGACAAAUUUGGAACUCUUCUUUCUAUAUUUUGCCACAUAUGUUCAUUUUAAAGUGAAUGUCAGUUCAGCUCACAUAAAAGCAAUCAACUUAAAAAAAUACUGUAAAAUAAAUUUGGAUAUUUCUCUCUUAA